rnacentral:rRNA from 1 species
UACGGGGGGGGCAAGCGUUGUUCGGAAUUACUGGGCGUAAAGGGCUCGUAGGUGGCCAAUUAAGUCAGACGUGAAAUCCCCAGGCUUAACCUGGGAACUGCGUCUGAUACUGGUUGGCUUGAAUUCGGGAGAGGGAUGCGGAAUUCCAGGUGUAGCGGUGAAAUGCGUAGAUAUCUGGAGGAACACCGGUGGCGAAGGCGGCAUCCUGGACCAACACUGACGCUGAGGAGCGAAAGCCAGGGGAGCAAACGGG